GGGGCGCCCCAAGUAGGAGGAAUCCUACUUGGGGUCCUCCCCAAUUCGUCCUACCCCCUUUCCUUAUUUCCGGCGGGGGAAAAGGGAAGAGGAAGGAGAGAAGGAAGGGGGGGGGGACAACCCCCCCUUUCCCUU
rnacentral:sRNA from 1 species